GAUGAACGCUGGCGGCGUGCCUAAUACAUGCAAGUAGAACGCUGAAGGAGGAGCUUGCUCUUCUGGAUGAGUUGCGAACGGGUGAGUAACGCGUAGGUAACCUGCCUGGUAGCGGGGGAUAACUAUUGGAAACGAUAGCUAAUACCGCAUGACAACAGUUAUUGCAUGAUAACUGUUUAAAAGGGGCAACUGCUCCACUACCAGAUGGACCUGCGUUGUAUUAGCUAGUUGGUGAGGUAACGGCUCACCAAGGCGACGAUACAUAGCCGACCUGAGAGGGUGAUCGGCCACACUGGGACUGAGACACGGCCCAGACUCCUACGGGAGGCAGCAGUAGGGAAUCUUCGGCAAUGGACGGAAGUCUGACCGAGCAACGCCGCGUGAGUGAAGAAGGUUUUCGGAUCGUAAAGCUCUGUUGUAAGAGAAGAACGAGUGUGAGAGUGGAAAGUUCACACUGUGGCGGUAUCUUACCAGAAAGGGACGGCUAACUACGUG
rnacentral:rRNA from 1 species